UAGAGCAACCGGCUCAUAACCGGUCGGUCCUGGGUUCGAGUCCCCGAAGGUCCA
rnacentral:tRNA from 1 species